rnacentral:lncRNA from 1 species
UGAGUCCUGACUUAAUAGUAGGUCAUAGAUAAAUCGUCAAAUCUUAACAUCAGUCAUAUGAUAGAUUUGAUUAGCUCAAGUCCCAUAGUGAUUCUCAUGAAAACUCUUUUUCAUUAAUCAUACUGCUAUGGCUACAGACUAAAGGACUUAGCCUCUCAAAUUUUAUAAAACUAUUCUUUUCUAUUAAGAUCGAUAGAUUCCAUCUAGAUGUGCAU